rnacentral:rRNA from 1 species
AUACGGAGGGUGCAAGCGUUGUUCGGAAUUACUGGGCGUAAAGCGCGCGUAGGCGGUCUGUUAUGUCAGAUGUGAAAGUCCUCGGCUCAACCGGGGAAGUGCAUUUGAAACUGGCAGACUUGAGUACUGGAGGGGGUGGUGGAAUUCCCGGUGUAGAGGUGAAAUUCGUAGAUAUCGGGAGGAAUACCGGUGGCGAAGGCGACCACCUGGCCAGAUACUGACGCUGCGGUGCGAAAGCGUGGGGAGCAAACAGGAUUAGAUACCCCAGUAGUCC